UCCCUCUUCUGGUAGGGGUAAGAGCAGACUUGGAUUAUGCUUUUGUCUCAAAGGUCUUGUGGCAGCUUUGGUACAAGUACCCCUUUGGCUCGGUUGUAUCUGCAACCUGUCCAGCUACACCUGCUGAUCUUGGGCCUGCAGGUGUCUGCAGAGGUCCCACAAAACCAAGGUCAUGGUGUCUGGGGGGGCACUUACAUCCCUACACUGGUGCCAACCUAAGAAGUAGUCCUCUCAUACUGGUGGUAGAUUGCAAGGUGGUCUUUCCAGACACAUCCGAAGUAGGCUUGGGUACAGUCCAUUAAGGCCGUAAGGUUAAUGAACAGUGGACUGGCCACAACCUUUAAGUGUUGGACUUGGACUAAUGUCUGUUCUAGUAUUCCACAAAUGUCUGUUGAGACCAAGAACUCACCAUGCCAUUGUCUAGACUGGCAGCACUAUGACACCAGCCAUCAUCAACAAACUGGAUGACCAAGUCUGUGUGCAAGCCGGCAACCAAGCUGUUGCUGUGGGCCUGGCUACCCCUACUCCUGCCCACAAAGGCCUAAGCGUGUACCAGGGCUGUUGAAC